AUUUGGGGUGCCAACACAGCACCUGAGCAUGCUAUAGUUUGCUUCUGAUUUCAGAAGCUAAUCAAGGUAAGUCCUGGUUAGUUCUUGGAUGGGAGACCUCCAGGAAAUAACCAAUGAUCUCCAGGUA
rnacentral:rRNA from 1 species